ensembl:lincRNA Gm44176 predicted gene, 44176
ACAUAUCGAUGGAGGAAUGAGACACCAUGGAAAACAAAUGAAAAUCUGUUCAAUAUUAAGAAAAUGGCAAGUGUGAAAAAGAAGUAAUGCUGGGGGGGAAGCAAUGACGAGGUCAUCAGAUCUGUCAGCCUCGGACACUUCAUGAAUUACAAAAACUUACAGGACUCUACGUAAAUAUCCAGUGACUGUUAAUUGUUGUGCUAUCUUAAACUUCAAAGGAAUGGAAGAAGCAGAGAAGCCAUGAAUGGGAGUAAAGUCUAGUCAUGAUUUAAAGGG